rnacentral:lncRNA from 1 species
AAAAUAAAUAAAAGUGCAAAAAUCUAAUGUUUGAAAACAAUGGUAGGAUCCUCAUUGGUCUACAUGUUACUAUCCCUCUUUUUCAUGCAAUAAAAAAAGAUGGGAAUAGAGGAGCUGUUUAACACUCCACAGCAUCCCAAAUAAACAAUUCAUUUUAAAUUGCAAUGAGAUAACUAACACAGUAAAAUAAGAAGAUAAAAUACUACAUUAAGAAUAAGAUAAGAAAGAAACCAAUCUUCUUGGGUCCACAAAUUCGGUGUGAAUUGGGGAGUACAAGGAAGAGAGAGAGAGAGUUAGAACUUUUAAAUUUAAUUUUUAAAUUUUAUUAUAUUGCUUAAUAGGCAUUUAUUUUCGAAUAAAGUUACUAUUUGACGAGACUUGUUUGAUCAUAUAUUUUAUACAUAAUUUUAAAUAAUUUUAAAACAUAAUUUUUUUAUAAAUAAGAUAGUUAAGUACUAGGAUUAAAGCCUAUACUAAAAUAAAAAAUAUAUAUCUAUUUGUGAUUAAUGCAAGGAGAGUCUGACUACUAUAUUUUUAUGAUUAUAAACUUUUUUGUACACAUAAAUUUUUGACCGUCAAAUCUAUACUUAUAACCAUUUUCAUCCGUUAGGUCACAUACUAUUCAACCAACCACUCACUCAACUUUAGAAGACUAUUAUCAUUUUAAUCGGCGACUACUAUGAUCCAAACGAUCGAAAACUUUAUAAGUAUAAAGAAGUUUAUACUUUAUACUUAUAAAAGUAUAGUAGUCCUGAUCAUACAAGUAAAUAAAUAUAAAAUAUAUAAAUAGAAACUUUGAUUCAGGAGAAAAUUUUAUUGAACUAUUUGAUAAAAUACAGAACAGGGAGAAUUAGGAUUUCAAACAAGUAAAAAAGUUCAAAAAACUUUGUAUUUUUUAUUUUUUUAAAGAGAGAGAGAGAGAGAGAGAGAGAGAGAGAGAGUUUGUUAAGAGGUUGUCACCUAUGUGGAUGUGCACAUGGCACGUGUCACUCCACUUGCACACGCCAUAUUUCCAUCUUUAGCCCAUCUCUCUCUCUCUCUCUCUCUCUCUCUCUCUCUCUCUCUCUCACCCUUUCCCCAUCUCCCCUUUGGUUGUCUCCUCACCAAAGCUCAUCAACUCCACAUCCAUUUUGCAAAUGAACCCACCUCUUAUCCCUCUCUCUAAAUUCUAUAUUUCUCUUUCUCUUUACAUAUACAUUCCUCUCCUAGCUUGUUGUUGUUCUACUUUUUGUUGCUUUGAAAUUUGGAAGAUCCUUAAAAUAAAUCAAAAUGGAUGUGGAGUACCAAGAGGUGGGUUCAUUUAGAUUUCUUUUAAUCCUUUUCUCCUUCUUCUUUUUUUGNCAUCCUCUUAUCCCUCUCUCUAAAUUCUAUAUUUCUCUUUCUCUUUACAUAUACAUUCCUCUCCUAGCUUGUUGUUGUUUUACUUUUUGUUGCUUUGAAAUUCGGAAGAUCCUUAAAAUAAAUCAAAAUGGAUGUGGAGUACCAAGAGGUGGGUUCAUUUAGAUUUCUUUUAAUCCUUUUCUCCUUCUUCUUUUUUUGUUUUGUUUUGGUGUGUUUAUUAUUAAAUCCCAUUAGUAAUCUCCUUGUUUGGUUUGAUAUAUAUUAAACCUUAAUUUUUCUUUAUGUAUAUGUUUUUAGGAGUAUAUUAGGAGUUCAAGAGGGGUGCAACUGUUCACAUGUAGAUGGUUACCACUCUCUUCACCACCCAAAGCACUUGUAUUCCUUUGCCAUGGUAUGUUCUUAUGCUUAAUUAUAAUCAUCAUUAAUAAAUAUCAUGAUAUAAUUGGAAAACAAAAAAAUUAUACAAGAAUGGUGUUUUGUUUUCUUUGUUAAGUAUAAUUUUAUGACAUUCCUGUUGUUUAUUUGGUGCAGGCUAUGGCAUGGAAUGUAGUGGCUUCAUGAAAGGUAACAAUAUCAAUAAUCUUUUUAAAGGUUCUUUUAUAGUAAUCUAUAGUCCUCAAAUGCAAUAUUUAUAGAAGGUUCUUUUUUUUUUUGUCCUUUUUUGCUCCAAGAUUUUUUUUUUUUUUUUGUGUGGCCUAGUACAAUAUAAAUUUCAAAAUCAAGAAAAUCAAGGUCUCAAAAAAAGGAAAAAAAAAAAAAGUGUACAUGUAAUCCACUUCUCCCUCUGCUCAUUCUCUGUAGCCUUUUUACUUCACGGGUACAAUGUUUUGUAGCUUUUUGGUUGUUACAUGUGAAUAUAUUAUCUCUACGUACAUGUGACAUACAUAUGCUAGAGAAAGAAAAAUACCUUUGGAAAAAUACAUUGUAUCCUAUUUUCACUCCUUUCUCACUUUGCUAAUUUUGCUUAAUUCUGAAACAUAUUUAAAUAAUUGUAUCAAACUACAUUCUUCAUUAGGGGUGGCAUUAAAAGUUUUCACAGUGUAUAUUUUCAAAACUAUUGAGGAUCAAAUUAAACAAAUACUUUAAAGGGCACUUGUAUGUUAAUAUAUGAAAUAAAUAAUUUGAACCAAACUAGUAAUUAUUAAUUUAGGAGAAAAUUCUAGAGGGAACAAUAAAUAACAAGACCACUUUACACUCCAUCUUUAAUGGCAUGCAUUUCUUAUAAUUGAGAGAGGUGAGAGAAUUGAAUGAUCUCUCUUUUUUUCUUGGUGCUUUAUUUAAAAGAUAGAAAAUAUUUAUUAGCCACCUACCACCUUUAUACUUUCUCUCCCAAAAUAAAAGGAAACCACCUAUAUAUAUUAAAUGCACCUCUAUGGAAAGUAUUUGAUUUUGAACAUAUGCUGCUUUUUUUAGAAAAGAAUAUAUACUACCAAGGGUUAGUGAGAACAUAACAGAAAUUAUUAUUCAGAGAUGAUCUGAUGCACUGAAACUGGUCAAAUUUACUGUUUUUAUAUUUCUGUCACUUUUCAUAUGGUAUUUUUUCUCUUCAAUUGAUUUAGAAUGUGUUCAGAUGUAGUUAACUUAGUCCCCGCUAUAGGCUUAAAAAAGAGAAAUAUCAAAAUAAAAUUACUAUUCUAUUUUAUAACUUACAGUAACCCUAAUUAAAUUUUGUUUCUUAAAUUACUAUCACAAUUCCGAUCUAAGUAAUAUGUACUAUUUAUUUGCCAUUUUAACAUAAUUUCGACCUACAAAUUCUUGUUUUUUAUUUUUUUUUGGAAUUCAUGGUCAAAAUAUUUUCCCUUUAUUGGGUCAAUAUAUCCUUUUAAUUGGUUAAUGUUUGGUGAGCUACCACCACAUCCCCAAAAUUUAUUUACAUAACCAUUAUUCUCUAAAAUCCAUUUAAAAUGCCGAAUUUAAUGCAUAAGUUGUUUUUUAUUCGUUUCCCACAACUGCAUGCUCGGAACCCUUUUAUUGUACUUUGCUUUGGACCAUAUUUUUUACCUUUGAGAAAUUAUUUUUGUGGACCAGGUCCAACGAACUAGGCUACGAGAGUANUAAACUUAUAUAUAUAUAUAUAUAUAUAUAUAUAUAUAAUAAUAUAAAGCCCAAAAAAGUAAAUAGGAUAAUGCCUCCAUCAUGACACUUAUUAGGAUAUAUAAGAAAGUUGUUAUUUAAAUUAAUUUCUUAAUUUGCUACAAUCUCUGCGGUUCAAUUAUUGGGUGUGUCUGGUUCGAAGUCGGAAUUGGUAUCGAAAUCGAAAUGAGAAUAAAGCUGAAACCGGGGUCGGAAUGAUUCAUUACCUUAUUUUGUUUGGUUCGACAUCUGAAUUGGAAUCGGAAUGAAUUAAUUUUUAUUGUCGGUGUUUGGUUCAGAUAGAUGUUAGAAAUAUAAUCAAAUUAAUAUGUCAAUUUUAUUUUCAUAAUAUAUUAGUUUAUUACUUUUGUUAAAAUAAAAAUUUAUCAAUAUGAUUUAGCAAUACACUCAGCAGCACAGCAAAACUAGUGCAUUUUAACUGAUGUGUUCUCGGUUCAUAGGUGAUUUGGUGGACCAGGUUUAGGCAAUUGUAUACACAUUUAGUUAACGGUGCAUUAAGUAUUGUCCUUAUUUACCCCACCAAUCCGAGCCCGGGUUGUUGUCGGGUUCUGUGACUCAUUAAUUCGGGCUCAGUCCCAUUGCGUCGUGUGGGCUCACUACGUGAACCCAUUUAUAUUUAUUUACAGUUGCAUUAAUUUUCACCAUCCUAAUUAUAAAAAAUGUGACACUUCAACAAGCGAAUCAAAUUUAUUGAAUCUGAUCAAAUUUUUUUUAAUACCAAUUUAUUUUCUUCGAUCAUUGUUGUGAAUAGCGCGGUGAUGUUAUUUGGACGAAAAUGGCUAAUAAAAGAGCGUAUAUAUAUAGUAUUGAAUUGAAUUUGGUGAUGAUAGGGUGCGGGACGAGGCUAGCCACCGCUGGAUACGGAGUUCAUGGGAUCGAUUACGAGGGGCACGGGAGGUCCAUGGGAGCUCGAUGCUACAUCAAGAAGUUCGACCACAUCGUCGCCGACUGCGAUCGUUUCUUCAAAUCCAUUUGCGGUAAAAAUAUUUCCGACCUUUUUCUCUAACUUUCCUUCCAUCACAUCAACAAGAAUUAUAGCUGAUUUUGAUAUAUGAUGUUGCUUAUUGGAAUAGUAUGUUGACUUUAUACUUAGGACACAGAAUCAAUUCAAAAGCUUAAACUUAUAACAAUAAAACGCCUAGCAUAUUAUAUAGAUUGUACGUGCAAGAAAUAGAUUGUUAUAUAAAAUUUAGCAUAUUCUAGAUAACUCAAACGAUUACUCUCUCGUUUAUUUCUAGAGUAUGCGCGAGAGUUCUUUUCAUAUCUACAUAGUAUUAUAUAUAUUAUAUAAGUGCAAGCAAUCACAUCACAAGUGUCAUGUUUUUUGUUCUAGUCUUUUUUUGUCAUCUUAUGGAUAAACCGUGCUUUCGCUAUUAUCAAAUUUCAAAUUUUCAAAAUCAGAGUAACGAGUACUGAUUAAGUACGAUUUAGAGCUUAUGAUAUAUAACGUUGUUUGAUUUUGAAAUUGAACGAUGUAUACCUGCAAUAUUGAUGUUACAUAUAAUCAUUUAUGACUAACUUUUUUUUUCUCUAAAAUUGAUGGGCAAAAAAUCACUAUCACUCCCAAUAAGUUUGUUGAGAUGUCACUCCCAAUAUUCCUUAUAUACUAUAACAAAGCAUGGAAAAGCUUUUAUGUAUAAUUUAAUGUUCCAAGGGACACGCAAGUGACCAGUCACAUGAGUCACAUCCCAUCAUUUUGGGUUCAAAGGGUUUAGUUAGACAAUUAUGGAUGAUUUGUACCGAACAAUGUAGGUACUUACUGAUUCAUCAGUAACAAAAUGCAUUUUAACCGUUUAAUUUGAACGAUUACAAAUACAUCGGCUACGACUUGGAUGCGUUAUGCUCCUGGUUUGUUUUAAAUGCAUCAAGCUUCUGAUUGAUGUUAAGACAUUUCAUUAUCGGUUUGCCGAUUUUACUAACUUUUGUUGAUAUUUCUUACAAAAAAUCAGUAGUCAUUAUUUUUGUUGCGCGAUUAUAGAAUUGGAAGAGAACAGGACGAAGAGUCGGUUUCUGUACGGGGAGUCGAUGGGAGGCGCCGUCGCGCUUCUCCUUCACAGGAAGGAUCCCACCUUCUGGGACGGUGCCGUUCUCGUCGCGCCCAUGUGCAAGGUAACUUUACGCGAGAUGUACUCUAACUGUCUAAUUCACCGUUCAUACUAUUUAACCAAAUAUAUAACCACUCCUCAGGACGGAAAAAUGAAUUGGUCUUAAAUUUAUUGCUUAAAUAUUUUAGCUAAGCAUAUUUUUUUUAUAUAAUUUUUGGUUUAGAUAUCCGAGAAGGUGAAGCCCCACCCAGUAGUGGUGAACCUUUUGACGCGCGUGGAGGAGAUAAUCCCCAAGUGGAAAAUUGUCCCCACUAAGGACGUAAUCGACUCCGCAUUUAAGGACCCUAUCAAGCGUGAAGAGGUAUAGGAUUAUUUUUCAAAAACUUAAGCGGUUAAAGAAUAAUAUUUUUAUAUAUUUUGUGUUAAUUUAUUCCUCGUGGAAUAGUAAUUUUUUUUCACUUAUUGUGGAGUAUCUAAUACCAAUUAAUUUUUGGAAUUAACAGAUACGAAGCAACAAGCUUAUCUACCAGGAUAAGCCUCGCCUUAAGACCGCGCUUGAGUUGCUCAGAACCAGCAUGGACCUCGAGGACAGCUUAUCCAAGGUAAUUCGUAAUAAGUGUGUUAUGCUGACUCAUUAACUGUAAUUUAAAUUAUCUUUGAUGAUACGUGACAAAUUGCGAAAAUAGUUAGUCUGAAGUCGUGCAACAUUUGCAGGUGAAGUUGCCGUUCUUUGUGCUUCAUGGCGAGGCCGACACGGUGACCGACCCGGAGGUGAGCCGAGCGUUGUACGAGCGCGCGGGAAGUUCCGACAAGACAAUCAAGCUAUAUCCAGGAAUGUGGCACGGCCUAACCGCCGGCGAGCCCGACGACAAUGUGGAGGCCGUGUUCGCCGACAUCGUAGCGUGGCUCGACCAACAUAGCUGUCGGUGGACCCACGACCGGACACGCUGUCCCGAAAAGCCCGAGCCGGACAUCAUUACCAUCGGUAGCGAUAGCCCUACGUCGCCGGUCAAGACGCGGCGGCCGCGGCAUCGGGUUUUUCUUUGCGGGUGGAAGGGUCGGACGCAGCAUCACUCGGCCAUGUAAAGAGUUCGUGAAAGGGGAAUGUUUUCCGUUGGCAUUUCAUCGAACACUGUGGAAAGGGGGAAAAUAAAAUGUGACGAGAGGAUACAGUAAUAAUAAUAAUAAUAAAAAACAUAAUAAAUUGGUGUGUUGAGCAUUAUAAAAUAGGGUGUUACAAAUGAAUUUGUCAAAUAAAAAUUAGUUUAAAUUUCAGAAGGGUAUAUCUUUUUUCCUUCACCUUUUCCGGUAUGCCUAAUCCUGUGUCAUACGUUCAAAUUAAAAGGAAAGAUGAGCAAAAACAAACAGUAUUUUUUUGAAAGCAUUGUAUUAAUGGUCUCAUUUUGACAUAGAUAGGAUAUCAACAAAGAAGCAUCCAUUUUGACAAUUCAUAAGAGAGAAUAAAAAAUAACUACCAACAAAAGGUCAAAAAAGAAAUGAUAAUACAGAGUAAGCAUGAAAAAUAUUAUUGGUAACAAUAAAAUGAUUCCACUACUAACUUCUACGUAGCUACUCUGAUUUAGUAGCCAAAGCUUAUAGUAAGCCUUCAAGUUCAAGUAGAUGUAUGUUCACUUAUUGCUCCUUUCUUUCUUCCUCCUUUGACUUGCGUAAAGAUAACUCGGACCGAUGAUGAUCCGACGGUCGUAACUUAAAGACUUAAGAGGAGCCCGCGGUGGCGGUGGUGGUGGAGGAGGACGAGGUGGAGUGGUCGCCAAAAAUGCGGUUGCGGAAAUCGGAGACCAUGAGGGGGAGGCCCUCGCGGAGGGGGAUCUUGGGCUCCCAGCCCAAUAGCUCCUUGGCCCGAGUGAUAUCGGGCUUGCGCUUGUGCGGGUCGUCCUCCGUGUUGGGCCGGAACUCGAUCCGGGCGUUCGGGUCGAUCGUGUCCUGGACCACUUUCGCAAGCUCAAGCAUCGUGAACUCGCCGGGAUUACCCAGGUUGAACGGGCCGAUGUGUUCUCCUUCCAUCAAUCGCAUCAAACCUUCCACCUGACAAUUUUCACAUAAGAAUCAUCGCAACGUCUACUUAAAUUUCGAAAGAUAUGCAACCAAAUAAUAAAGGGAACUUCUGAGGCGUGCGGACCAUUUUGAAUCGACUAUCUAAUCUUUCAAAAUUUUGAUUUUACUAUCCAUUUUUUUUUUUUUUUUUGAACUAUAUUAACAGUUAAUAAUAAUCUUGUUAAUUUACUUUUUUUUUGUUUUGGAUCCGUCAACGAUACUUUGACUUUAAAAUUUACGUUAAUUAGUUUAAUAAAUUUAUAAUUACGUGAAUUGCAUGCUGUAUACUAAUGUAUUCUAAUUAUGAAGUCAAAGUGCCAUUGACCAAAAUAAAUCAAACAAAUUGAAAGAUUGGAUAGUAAAAUUAAAAUUUUGAAAGAUUGAAUUGUCAGCUCACAAUAGUCUAUAGUUCAGAUAAGUUCUGUUCUUUUUGACCUAUUCAGAAUUUAAGUUGGUUGGGAAAUGCAAAGAGAUUCCCUUACACUUUUGUUCUUCUCAUUUAUCAUCUAAUGCAAAUUAAUGCAUUUUUGAUACAUUAACUCCAACUAAGUGACCCAACAAUUAAAGUGAGAGUAAAUAGUAAUAAGAGUCAAGCUUUUUGGUGACAUUAAUCCUCCAACCAUUUUGGGGCUUUUGGGACCAUUAUUGAGACAUUUCCCUACAUGACACGGUCACACGGCACAUGCAAAAGAGCAAAAGGUGCAUAAAAACAAACAUGGCAACAAUAAUAAUGGGAGAAUAAAAAUUAAAAAGAAUAGAGAGAGACAUUACUUUCGAAAGAGAGAGAGAGAGAGAGAGAGAUCUGCAAAGAAAAGGAUGAAAACUCACCAGAUCGGAGACAUACUGGAAACUCCUCGUUUGCUUUCCAUCGCCGUAAACUGUCAUGGGCUCUUUCCUCAGAGCCUUAAAAACAAAAAAAAAAAAAAGAAGAAAAAAUCAGUAGCUGUAUUAAUAAGGAGUAAUUAGCAUCUAAAUUAAUCUAACAAAACAAUAUACAACAUAUUAACACGUAUUUUGAUGGAUAUGAUUGAUCGAUAAUUAUGAUUACUAUUUUAGAAAUAAGUACAUAUGAACUGCUUUCAAAUCAUAUGAAGUGCUAACGAUUCUGUAAUUACUCUAAUACCCAACUUUACUCGCUUAACAAAUACAAAAUAGCGAUUAAAUCUAUUAAGUCAUUUUAACCCUUAAAUCCUAGAAGGGGAGAAUUGCGUUAAGAACAAUAAUCUUUACAUCAGUACAAACUGAAACCAUAAUAUGUAUAUAACAAUAUGGAAUGUAUCUCUACGUUAAAACUUUCUAAAAUUUUAGGCCGAACACGCGUAGUCGCACCUAACAUACGUGAAGUAAUUCAUCUGAUCGCAUUAGGUUCGUGCCACGUAUUAGUACAUAUAUAUAGAGAUGUGAAAUGUGCACCGACUUAAUUAAAGAGAUAAUAUAUUAAAUAUUUGAAGUCAAAGUGAUAGUCGACGCGCAUUGAUAAAAGUAAAUACAUAAUUUUGUAGGUAUGAACAUGCAAACUCUGAUCAAAGAGAGGGGGGUUUUGUGGUGGUUAGACCUGGGCGACAAAGUUGCUGACGACGCGGCCAUCAUCGAUGCACAUGCGAGGCCCAUAAGUGUUGAAGAUCCGAGCUAUUCUCACCUAUAUUUUUGUACAUGUAGAUAUAGAUAUGUCACCCAAUUGCAUCACCGAAUAUUAAUAGCUUAAAAUUAGAUUACCUUUUAUUUUUUUGCUAAAUUAAUUAGAGAUAUUAUCUCGAGAGAAAAAAAAUUUUUUAAAAAAAGAAAAAGUUAGGCUAUGUAACUACCUCGAGCUGGGCACCACGAUGGUAGUCCAUGGUCAACGUCUCCGCCGUGCGCUUCCCCUCGUCGUAGCAACUCCUCACGCCUGCGUGGGUCCCACAACAAAUAACGUGUCAGAUACUCUACUACUACCAAUCAUUUUCUUUAAUUAUAUUAUAUCUUUUAGAACGAAUAUACAUAAUUAAUAAUAUAUAAUAUACGUGCUACCUAGCUAGCUCAUUACCUAUAUUAUUUGAAUUAUAAUAUUAAACUAAAGUAAAACAACUGUCCCUCUCGCAUCUACAAUUAAGCUUUUUUUUAUAGGUUUACAGUGUGGAUUAAAUGGAUUAGAAUUCUGACUAAAUAAAAAUUGAAAAUUUUUUAUUCUGAUAUUACGUUAUAUUAAAAUAAAAUAAUUAUUGCGCUCUAAUAACUUUAAGAUAUUAAAAAAAUAGUAUUUUUAAUAUUUAUAUUUGAUAUAAUAAAAAUAUAAUGCAUAUAAAUGGAGUUGUAAGAUGGUGGCAUUAGUUCCACCGAGAACUGAAUCUCAGAAUUUUAUUAUCUUGUGAAUUAAUAUGCACGUACAAAAGCUGAGAGAACCUUCUGAAUUACUUAGCAAAUGCUCUCAUUAUUCCUGGGAGCUGUAAAGCCCUGCUUUGUCUCAGACGCAAUAAAAAUUUCACAGCACUUGCUCGUACAGUACCAGAAGAAUAAUGCAUGUUACAGCUUUUGCUUUUUUUUUUUAAAACUAACUAUUAGCUAGCUUCCUCCAAAAGCUCAAACCAUAAUCUUCUUCAGAAACCAAACAUAUGCGCUCGUAUCAACACUAUUGAACAAAUUAAGUUGUGAUAUUACUAUAUAUUUAUUUAUAUAUAUAUUUGUGUGUGUUUUAGGUUCCGACAAAAAACGUAGAAAGAGCAUAUGUAGAGAGAAAGGGAGGAGGCAUAUAUACCAAUAGGAUUAACGUUGCCCCAGUAGGUCUCGACCUGGGGGUGUUGGAGGGGGUCGCCAUACACCUCGCUGGUGCUGCUGAGCAGGAACCUGGCCCCCACCCUCUUCGCCAAACGAACAACAACAACAACAGCAACAACAACACAAAAGAGAGAGAAAGAGAAAGAGAAAGAGAAAGAGAAAGAGAGAAUAAUAAUAAUAACGAAUUAAUUAAUGAAUUUAAAAAAGGAAAAGGAAAAAGAAGAGGAAAGAUGAUUAAGAAGAAGAAAAUUAAGGAUAUGAUGGUUUUGACGGGGUUGAACUUGUAGUGGACGGGGGAGGCGGGGCAGGCGAGGUGGUAGAUGUGGUCGACCUCGAGGAGGAUGGGCUCGACGACGUCGUGGCGGAUGAGCUCGAAGUUGGGGUUCCCGAGGUGGUGCGCCACGUUCUCCUUCCGCCCCGUGAAGAAGUUGUCCACCACGAUCACGCUGUCCCCCCGCGCCAUCAGCCGGUCCACCAGGUGGCUCCCCACGAACCCCGCACCCCCCGUCACCACGAUCCUCUUCCCCUUCCUCCGCAACCCUAGCGGCACCUUCCCCCCCACGAACAUCCCCACCCCCACCCCCUCGAUCGCCGCCCGGUGCACCGAUCUCCGCCCCACCGCCGCCGCCGCCACCGCCGCCCUCGCCGCCACCUCGCCGCCUCCGCCGCCGCCGCCGCCGCUCGGGGCGAGGGAGAGGACGAUCGCCGCGAGGGCCAUCCCGAGCAGGGCGAAGAGGAGGCGCUGCUCCGAGACGAGGUACCGGAUCGGGCGCGAGAGCCACGGGAGCGGCUUCGCGGGCUUCGGGGAGUACCCGGGAACCUCCUGGGGAGGCGAUUCGUGGCCGCGGUAGAUGAGCUCGGAACCCAUCGGAGGACACCAAAUUGAAACAGAUCCGAUCCGGAGGGGCUUAUCCCUUCGUGCAAAAAUUUAUCGAGGGGGGCUUUUUCGAGAACGAAGGAAACUUCGAGGGCCUUUUUUUUUUUGGUGGGGGGAACCCGCGCCCGAAGAGUCGCGUGAACGGUGGCGUUGUGCGGUAGUGGGGAGGGGGGGGAGAAGAGCUAUUUAACUGGGGGAGAGAUGUCGUUGCAGUAUAAUGUUCCUUCGGACCACCACGUCUUAAGUUGCACCAUAUCAUCUCCACCGUUGGAUUGUUCAACGGCACUAAUCGCCGCCCACGUGGACUGUAACAGCGCCUUCCGCAAAGUGACAAUUUACAUAAGCCGCCUUGCAAUUGCGAAAAAUUAUAGAAAUGUAUAUAAUAUUAUAUUAUAAUUAAAAAAUUUCUAAGAAGUUCAUAUUAUAUCACUAAUAUAUAAUUUUAAUUAAUAAAAUUAUUUUUAAUCAAUCUAUUUUAACAUUAUUAAUUAAAAAAUAUUUUAUUAUAUUUUAUUUAUAUAUAUAAAUAUAAUAUAUAUAAUAUAUAUAUAUACUAUAUAUAUAGUGUUAUACUUUGUAGCACGGGGUCUUCGUACUACAAAUUGUUUUCAAUGGAUACCUGCUUCUAAAUGACGAUUGAUUCCGUAAACUUAAUCUACAAUAUGUGAAGAUUGUGAGAUAAAUUUUAUAUAUUUUUCGAUAUCAUUUGGCUAUGUGAUCAAAAGGUCUCAGAAUAAUAAAUUUUUAAUGAUAGAUUUGAUGCAGUGGAAUUUAUAGUGUAAAAUAAUCCAAAUUUGAUGAAUUUUAUAAAAGUUGUUUUUCACUAUUUAACUAAUGAUCAGUAUAUCUCUAUCUUAAAUUUCAGUCUUUUGUAUCAUCAUUUUUAUAGAUUUUUUUUGUUCAGUCCGUUCAAUAUUGUUUAGACACUUGUUUAUAAAAAUAAUAUCCGAAAUAUUAUGAAAUUUAAUUUUCAAAUAUUUUUAAUAGUGAGACAAAGUUUAACGGCCCUGAUGCAUAUUGGAAGCUCAGCAUCAUCGAAAACAACUUGGUAGUAUGAGCUUCCGUCAUCCGAUAAUAUACCAGCUGACUCAUAUAUAUUAUAUAUAUAUAUAUAAUUAAUUUGUUACUGAUAAUAUUGUGCAAGUGUGGUACUAUAGAUUUUCUUCCGUAAUUAUAGAGAAAUUGUAAUAUCACCACUCAAGUAAAAGUGUUUGUCUUUAUCCCAGGAGUCUGGAAUUUAAUAUUUUAUUAUUUUUCGGAUAUAAAUAAAAAGAUGAGCUUUUUUUAUUAACUAGCUACUUAAACUUGAGAAAUUAUUAAUUUAUUAUAUAAAUAAAAAUAAAAAUUUAUUUUCCUCCCAUUAGUUUUAGAAGUAAUAUAUAAGAUAUGUAUUAAUUGUUAGGUUCAUUAGUAAGAAUAAAAGAAAAAAAGAACUUUUAUUUUGCAUUUUAAGAUUUCUAUAAUUAAAUUAAAAAAAAAUCAGUCCAUAUAAUACGGAUCAUGUACUAAUUUUUUUUUUCAAAAAUUUAUGAAAGUAAAAUGCAAUUGUUGCGAUGAGAUUACGACGUUAGUUGGUUUGCACUACGCUUCCAAGUCAUCCAAAUGACGAAAAAACCCUUUCCUAAAAUCCAAAAUUGACCAACUUAUAUCCCAGAACAAUAAUAUCUCCCCGGGCCACGUGGACGGCGGAGAUGGCGCGGCCGGAUGCUCCCCAUGUUCCCUAAAUUGUAUUAACGCAACAGUUAGUUAGAGAAAAUUAAAAUACUAAUCUCAUUUAUUAUAUUAAUUUUCUACUAAGAUUGUACAUGUGGAAGAUUUAUUAUUUCUUAUGGUAUUGGGUUUGGAGGGUUGUACCCCUGCUGUACAUUGGAAUGGAAUUUCGUUUGACUUUGGACCGCAUCCGUCCGAUCUCGAUCGAACGGCUAGGAUGCAGUAGACUCGAUAGAGUUGGAGGGUGCUAGGCUUUUGCGUGUGGGGUCAUGUGUGGUUGUGAUCAUGUGUGUAUUAUUUGAUUUCCAUGUGGGGUUUUUAUAAUUAAUUAUCUCAUGAUCAUUACUAGUGAGUAAUCUUGUUUAAGAAAAAACAAAUUCGAGAGAGAGAGAAAGGUUACCGGCUAUCUAUAAAGCUAUUAAUUUUACGGGUUUUACAGAUUUGUCACUUAAUUUAUUUCAUAUAAAUAUGAAAUAAUUAAAUUUUAAAUUUGAAAUAUUUGAUAUCAAAUGUAAAGUUCUUAACCAACUGUGUGCUAUAUAUAUAUAUAUAUAUAUAUAUAUAUAUAUAUAUAGUCGGUAAUUUACAAGUGUUAAUUAAUAAAAAGAAUUAAUAUUUAUAGGUCCAUUUCAAAAUACAUUUUAUUUAUUUAUUUGUUUGCAAUGCAGUGGGUAGGUGGUAGGUGGGUCCCGUAUAGUUGGGGGUACCGCAGAGAGGGGGUGUUUCCGAGAGAUUCAGACGCCACUCAAACUCAACAAAGUGGACAAAACAAAGCUGGCCAUGACAAAGGCGUGACUCUCGCAUUAUUUAUUUGUCAAUUUAUUAGGCCACACAUUAAAACGUUAAAAUUUUGUUUAAAUGUGUUACUCAUAAUUAAUUAGUCUUAACAUCGGCGCUACAUGCAUUGUCUAUGCCGAGUAAAUCAUUAUUCCUUGUGCACUAACUUAAAAAAAAAAAAAAAAACUUGGGGCCUCUUAAAUGGAUCAAGCGGGUUUAGGGCUUAUUCUGAUAUUAUAUUUACUUAGGUAUCGUUUGGUUCGAGGAUAAGAAAAAAAUGACUAUUCCAGGGAUAGGUAUAAAUUGAGGUAUAAGCGGGGAUUAGAUCAAUUUUGCGUUUGGAUGAAAAUUGGGUUAUUCCUGGGAAUAAAAAAAAUAGCGUUUGGUUAGGUAAGAUGGAUUAAGAAAGAUAGUGGAUUUUAUAAAUAAAAAAUAAUCAUAUUAUCCUCUUAUUAUAUUUGAAUUUAAAUUUUUAAAUUUUUAAAUAUAUAUUUUUAAAUUUAAAAUUUUAACUUUGAAAUUUUAAAUUUUGAAAUUUAAAAUCUCAAAUUUUAAAUUCAAAAUUUUAAAUUUUAAAUUUCAAACUUUAAAUUUAAGAUCAAAUUUAAAUUUAAAAAAUAUAAAAUAUCAAAUUUUAAAUUUCAAAAAUUUAAAAUAUCAAAAUUUAAAUUUAAAAUUUAAAAUUUAUAAUUUAUAAUUUAAAUUUUAAACUUUAAUUUUGAGAUUAUAAAUUAUAAAUUUUAAAAAUUUAAAUUUUUAAUUUUUAAAUUUUUAAAAUAAGAAUAGGGGUGGGAACAAUUAAUAAAAAUAAUUUAUUAUAAUAAAUUUAUAAAUUUUUUUAAAAUUCUACUUAAACUUAAAUUUAAUAAAAAGAAUUUAUUAUAAUAUUUAAAUAUAAUUUACUAUAAAUUUUAUUAUAAUAUUUAAAUAUAAAUAAUAAUUAUUAAUAUAGUACAAUUAAUAAUUUUAUAAUAAAAAUAAUGUAUUAUAAUAUAUAAAUUUUAAAAAUUUAAAUUUUUAAUUUUUAAAUUUUUAAAAUAAGAAUAGGGGUGGGAACAAUUAAUAAAAACUAUUUAUUAUAAUAAAUUUAUAAAUUUUUUUAAAAUUCUACUUAAACUUAAAUUUAAUAAAAAGAAUUUAUUAUAAUAUUUAAAUAUAAUUUAUUAUAAAUUUUAUUAUAAUAUUUAAAUAUAAAUAAUAUAUAUUAAUAUAUUACAAUUAAUAAUUUUAUAAUAAAAAUAUUGUAUUAUAAUAUAUAACAUAUUAUAUUUAUAUAAUUUAGUUUUAAUUCAAUUUAUAAUUUUAAUUAAGUUUGAAAUUAAGUAUUGGAAUAGUGCUAUUCCAUCAAAAUGGUGGAAUAGCAAAUCCCUUGCUAUUCCGGGAUAACCGGGAAUAGCAAGGUUUGAUCGGGAUAAAAUAUCCUGGCCAAAUUUCACCCCGUUUGGCGGAAUAGCGGGGAUAACUUUCAUUAUCCCCGCUUAUCCCUCCAACCAAACGGGGCCUUAAAAGAUUAAUUUAAUAAAAAACAGUUUAGAAUCUGUUUUGACAAAAUGUAAUAAUUUUUCAAUCCUUUUUGAAUCAAAGUUUUUUAGUUUGAACUUUUAUCCAUCUGUGGCUUGUAUAAGUAAAGGCCUGGAAUAAAGGAAGGGGUAAAAAUCUAAAUAAAAUUUUAGUCGCAUCUGAAGCGACAUAUAUAUUUGAAUUUUAAGGAGAAAAAUAAUUUGACGUGAAACAGCCACAGCUGUAUAGUGUAGUUGGUUGUUAUUCUAAAAAGUUUUUUCGAUUGUCGGGAUUCUGAUUUGAGUGUUAAAGCUUUUGGCUUUUAAAUUAUUCCGAGAAGAUUUUGGGGUUCAGCCUCUGAGAGCAUGACGCGUGGAAAAUUCUGGAUCAUUUGCUUGAUUUCAAGGAAGUAAUCCGUAAUUAGAGUUAAUGAGUAGUUUAGAUUGAAAAAAACUUAUAAAGUGUCAAAAAUAUAUUUCAACGAAUGGUAGAGAUAUGUCAUAAUCGACGUGCAUGCAUGGCUAUAUAAGUAUGUAUCAUGGGGCCCACCACGUCCAUGAGGGGCCCAUGAAAAAUAUAAAAAGGUGGCUUACUUUAUGGAUGGUGGCACAUGCGACAAUCAAUAGCCGUCGCAUUUUGAACGGACGGCGCAGGUGUCGCGUCGCAUUCCAAUUUGUCCACGUGAUUUGUACUGUUCACGGCCAAUUAACGGCCCUUUUUCGUCCAGGGCUUCUUCUCUUGGUUAUUGUUUUUCACUUUGGGUUCUUCUUUUUUUUUUUUUUUUUUUUUAACUAUUAGACCACGGUUAUAAUAUAGCCUUUGGUGAAUCUCAGUACCGACUUUUUUUCAGUUUCAGAAAGAGCUCCGUGGCACGCAGGGUGUGAUGCCAAAAUGCCAGAUGCUUUGAAAGAGACCGCCGGUAUAGUAUGCGAGGUUGAGAUGAUUGCAGUCCGGUAUGAAAGAUGAUAUUAAGAGUGGUGAGAUUGGGUUUGGUGCGAUGAACACGUACGGAAGAAGAGAUUAAGGAUCAAAUGAAAAAAAAGAGUAAAAGUUACAAAUAAAUUGCAUAAUCAACCCUAAAUGUUAAGGAUCUAAUCGUAUUUAAAAAAAGAAAAGAAAAAAAGAUUGGGCACCAGAAAGAAAUUAGAAAAAAUAAGGUAUGCAUAUUUGAAUAGCUCUUCUCCAAAAAGCACUUACUUUAACAUAUUUUUAAUACAGCAGAAGCAGGAGCAAUAAAUUAGAGUUUUUACUUUUAAACUGUAGAAUUGAUCUCAUGUCUAAUUCCUGGUGCAGUAAAAUCAUGGGCUUGUUUUAUUUGCUAAACACUUACUUAGUGUUUGAAAAUGAGUGCUCUCUGUCUCUCUCUCUCUAGAUGUGGACUAAUUCAAAAGUUUGUAGGAAUUUCUCCAGCAAUCAGUGGCGGAUCCUGCGGACAUUUUCAACACACACACACACACAAAAAGUAGCAAUUCGCGAUUCAUCCCUCGAAACUUUUCAAAUUAUAUUGAUAUAAUUGUUGAAGAAUAAUGUUAUCUAUAUAUUUUAAACUAGAUAUAUAAUUCAUACCCUAUUUUUAUCGAAUAUCUAUUUUUUUUUUUUCACCGGUCUUAUCAAUUUUUUUAAUACUAAAAAUUUAAGAGAGUUUUGUACUUCAUGUGACGUAAAUGGAUCCCUCAAAUAAAUUGAAGCUCCACAUGUAUUCUCUAAGAAAUAACUUAUAUAUAUUUGUGUUUAUACCGUAAAAUACUGAGACUCGCAUGCAAAUAAUAUCUGCACGCUGAAAAAUAAAUUCUGGUUUGUGCAAGUUUUUUCAUUUGAGUGCUUUUCUUGCUGAAAAUGUGAAUUUUCAUAUCAAAAAGAAUGCCAUUAACUAAUUGAAAUAUUCACGAAGGCCAAAAUUUCAGCUCAAAACCGAUCACAUAAACAUUUAGAAGGGGUUUAUAUAUAAUAAUGCUAAACUAUAUUUAUAUAUAUGUGAGUAUCUUAACUGCAGUUCGAUCUGCGUGAGUUGCUUAUGAACCAAACAGUUCUUAAAAGUCUUUGUGAGACGACGACGGAAUUUGAAAAUGAGUUUAGUGUGAACAAAUUAGCAAGAAAACGAAAAGUUAGGCAAUAAUUUUAUAUGCCUCAAAGAAGAUUUUUUUUUUGAUUAAAAGAAAAGAAUGAGACAACUUAUGUGAGAGCAAUUGACACGAUUCUCAUUCAUCAUCCCACUUAUUAUUAUUAUUGCAUUUAUUUAUCAGUCUCUUUCAUAUAUAUGCAAUUAGAAAUCAAUGCUUAACAUUUGACUCUCCCCCGAUCUGGUGGAAACUAACAGUACAUCCUCCGCAUAUAAAAUUAGGCCAGCUUUGAUUUGGACUUUGGAGGAUUUAGACCUAAUUUUGGACCUCUCUCUCUCUCUCUCUCUCUCUCUCGUCUCUCUCUCUCUUCUCUAUAUACUAUAUAUAGAGAGAGACGAGAGAGAGGAGAGAGAAGAGAGAGAAGAGAAGAGAGAGAGGGAGAGAGAGAGAGGAGAGAGAGAGAGAGUUGGGGACUGGGCUAUUAUUUAAGUAGCAAAAUUUCAUUGUGCUACGCAGUUUUUUAGCCAUGGAGGAUCAAUUCUAGUUCAUUAUUUCUAACCAUUGGACUUAAAUACUAUAAACCAAAUGGGGCCACUCAACUUAAAGAUAAAAUAUCAUUCUGUCUAUAUUUUUCAGUCAAGGGUUAAAUAUAGAGAAGCAAAAAAAGAAGUGUAUUAGAAUAUAUAUAGAUAAUAAUAAAUAUGAUAUAUAUAUAUAAUAUAAUAAUAUAUAUAUAUAUAGAGAUUGAGCUAGAUACUCUCAGAUAGAUAACGGGGCGUCAAUUACACUAUCGAGAUUGUUUUCACGAUGAAAUAAGGCCUUCCAAAUAGACGAUCGCAGGCUCCGAAAUUGAACAUGAUCUUAUACCUUUGACAGUGCUUUAGAAAUCAAAUUUAAUCUUUUCGACAUCAUUUUAAACUAAUGAUCAAAGGGUUUCAAAUUUGUAAUUUAAUGUGUGGAUAAGAAAACGUGUAUUUCGUUUAACAGAUGUAAAAGAAUAUCAAAAUACAAUUUAUAUUUUGUUAGGAAAAUUCUAUUAAAUAUUUAAAACAAGAUCCUAUCACUCUUGGAUCUUCGAUUACAAGACUCCUUCUCAUUAUUUCAAAGAAUAUUCCAUUUCAGCACUUAUUUUUUGUUCACCUCAGAUGGAUGUAAGAACAAAUUAAUACGCAAAGUCCCAACAGAUGAAUAAUUUGAUUAUCUAGAAGUAAGUAUUUAAAAUGGUUACUAGCUAAUAUUUAACGGAGCACCGAUGUCAAAUUGGAAGACAAUCUCAUCAUCGAAACAAAAAACUCGAACUAGUAAAACGCCCAUUUACUAUGAGAGAGUAAUUCUAGCACAACUCACUAUAUAUUAUAAUACAUACUAAAUAUAUAGAAGUUGAGCCAUAGAAAUAUAAAAAGAAUAACAAACGGAAGCUCCGUUGCAGACCCAUUGUUAUUCAGGCAUGGAGCCUCCAACAUCCGGAACGAUCGCAUCGUUGACAUAUGAAUCUUACAACUUUGAAGUGUUUACGACAAUUAAUUUAUACAUUUUCGAUAUUAUUCUCUUAUUCCAUCGACCAUGGACACAAAAAUGACACGGCUGAAAAUGAAUAUUCUUAAAAUGACGUAGAGUCUUGUUCAAGAUCAAGAGUAUAGAUCUUGUUUUAAAUAUUUAAAAAUUUUCUACAAAAAUUCAAUUUAUUGAAAUCUUUAGCAGUUACAAACGAACAAACGUUCAUCUCUAUUACCAUAAAUUACAGAAAUUUGAAAACCCUUUGAUCAUUAGGCAGAAUGAAUGUCGAAGAACGAUGAUUUGAAAUUGUUCUAAAACUUCAAGUGGUAUAUGAUUAAUGUUUCAUCGGUUCCGAUCGACGAUUUGGUGGACUCUAAUCAUCAAAAUAAAUGGAUGCACGGAGCCGCUUUGCUAUCGAUAGUAUUAUAGCUCAACAUAGUAUAUAUAUAUAUAUAUAUAUAUAUAUAUAUAUAUAUAUAUAUAUAGUCCGGCUGCUAUGCUAUCGGUAGUACGGAAGCUUCCGUGCUACCAAGCUGUUUUCGAUGAUGCGGCUUCCAAAUCGACGAUCGGCUCCGUUAGACUUGAUCUACACUAUUGGAAGUAUUUGAAAACUAAAUUUCAAAAUUUUUCGAUAUCAUUUGGCUAGUAAUCAAAAGGUCUCAAAAUUGACAAUUUUAAUGGUAGAUGUGAUGCAUUUGUAAAUUUAACGGUGUAAAACAAUCCAAAUCAGAUGAAAUUUUUAUAAAAACUUUUUUUUUUACUAUUUAGAGUAAGAUCAGUAUAUCUGAUCUUAAAUUCAAGUCUUCUAUCAUCAUUUUUUAUUAGAUUUUUAUUUUCAGUCAUUCAUUUUUAGACUACUCGUUUGAUAGAUAAAUGAUACCGAAAAACUAUGAAAUUUAGUUUCUAAAUACUUUCAAUAAUGUAGAUAAAGUCUAACGGAGCCGAUCAUUGAUUUGGAAGUGACGUCAUUGAAAACAACUUGGUAGCACGGAAGCGUCCGUGCUACCGAUAGUAUAGCAGCCUAGCUCUAUAUAUAUAUUUAUAUAUCCAAAUUAGAUGACAUGCACUUGUAAGUUUAUGGGCCAAAAAAAAAACAUGCCUAAAUUGGUAAUUAACAAAAAUAAAAUUCAAUAUAUGAUUUUUUUUGUUUGAUUAAUUAGUGUUAUUGUACUUAAUUAUCAGACUAGUCAUGAGGUCAAGCUUAAUUCCUCCUUAGGGCAUGUUCGUUAGUCAUGAACACUUAACGGCCAUACCUAACUCAAUUGGUUAGGAACUUAAGAGCUUAAUGGUAGGUAUAUAUCCAAUAUCCCAACUUUGAAGUCUAAUUAUUUUAUAUUUUUAACUAAGUUUAUUUAAAAAAAAUGAAUGAUAACUAUUUGCACCUUAUACCUGUAUGAUUUAUAUGUCACACUUAUUUGUCUUAAGCAUGACAUAUAAAAUGCGAACACAUUGAUAUAUAUAUAGACAGAGAUUAUAUGAUAGACUACCUAAAAUCAAAUUAGCCAAUGAAUAUGAAGGUAACUUUUCCAUCUAAAUUCGGGCGAAAAUUAAUCACCACUGAUUUUGUAGAGAAGCGAUGAAAUGGAUUAAAUUUGGUCAAAAUGGAAGUGGAGAAAGGCUAAAUUGUAUUCCCAUUGAGGAACACUGUACACCAACAGCAACCGCUUCGGAUACAAUCAAUUUAGGUUGUUGGAAUCAAACAAAAAACUUUUAUAGUCCACGUACAACAUGUUGGCUAAAGCAAAGUUCAAAAUUUUGGUCACAUUUGGGUAAAUAAAUUCGAGCUAAAUUCGAACUUUGGACCACGUAAUUAAAAACAUUUGCAUUAAUUAUGAAAAUUGUACAAAAUUACUGUUAGGCUUGGUCUAUAGAUUAAGUCUACAGUACAAUCUUAUUAUUAGUUUUUUUUUAACUGUUUGUAAAAUAUGAAAGUCUUAAAUUUACUGUUAUUAUUGAAAAAAAAAUUCUUUAUUGUUGUUACUGAAACAUGAUUUGAGGUAAAACAAAAACAAAAAGUUAAUAAUAUCAAUAGACGAGGCCUCAAAUUUUGCAACACGCAACAUUUUCUUUUGCGAUAUAUCUCUUCAUUAAUUACACCCAACUCAUCUAAUGAUGUUGUCCUAAUCGCUCCAAAGUUGCUAUCCACCAACUAAUUUUAACUCUUUUCCUUUUUUUGGUAAACUUAUUAUUUAAUUCAUAAUCAUUUGUUAGAACAGUUAUACAAACAUGCCAUUUUUAUGCAUGCAGUAAUAUAUAUAUUAUAUAUUAAUUAAUGUGUGGUAGAUGCAAUCUACCAAGUUGUCCACUUCUCUCCUAUCUACUUUUUGUUGUAGAGAGAGUUCUAAGCAAAAAUAAUAUAAUGUUAGGCUCAAUUUGUAUAUAUAUAUAUUGAUUAUUUUUAUCUCUCUCUCUCUCUAUUGUCUUCUUCAUUGUAAAGAAAUAGAGUUUAUGGCGCGCAUGCGAAAGAGAGAGAAAAGUUUUAGGUUGUUAAAUUUUCUACUUAGGAUCAGAAGCUAGCAUUCAUUAUUUGAUAGCAAUGAUGGUUAAUUAAGAUGAUGAUUAGUUGCUAGAGGUUUGAAUUGCACCUAACCACGUGCUUUGAUGUAAAAUAAUAUCUAAAUAAAUAUGGCAUCUGAUACCCUGAUAAUUUGUCUUUGUGGAAUGAUAAUGUAUUGCUCAACUAAUGUAUCACGCAUAAAGUAAUAAUGAUUUACAAUAGAAGCACACACGAGAGAUACCCAGAGAUUGGUUUAUCGAAAACGCUUUUGAUCAUUUUCAAUUAAGGAUAUAUACGUAUAUGUGACGCAUUAGUUUGUAGACACAUUAAUAGCCUAUAAAAACAGUACUUGGGCUAAUUAUACACCACACUACACUAGUGAUCGACAAUAAAGUUGAAUAAUAGAAACUUUUUAUCAUCAAAAAUAGGACCUAAAAAAGUUGUCAAAAUGUCAAAUAAGUAGGGAUCGAGGUGCGUUAAAAAAAAGCCUAUGGAGCUCUAGUGAUUAUAAUAUGCAAGGGUUGGUACCAAAAAGGAAAAAAGGAAAUAAUAUUUUCUUCUUCUUUUUCCUCACUCUUUCAUUGAGGUUGGCUUUGAGUCCUUUUCUUUGACCAGUACAUCAUAUCUAGUUUAAUUGUUUAUUCCUAUCAAUUAUCCUAAUUAAUAUGAAAUCUCAUUAGUAAGUAAUAACCCAGCCAUGUACAUAAAUCAUAUUCUAUCAUUGAAGCAACAUUGAUAUUUCACCAAUCCUUGCUCAAUGCACUCUCCUUGUAAAUUUCAACCACGUGACUAAUUGCUAUAUUGAAAAUAGAGCCCCUACAUGCACAGUUAGAUCCCUUCCGACAAAAGGAAACGGGAAAAAGUUGGGUUUAAAUUAGAAGUGUUGGUUAGAGUGGAUUUAAGAAGCUUCCUUUGAGUGGCCGGAGAAUAUAUAUAUAUAUAUAUAUAUAUAUAGAGAGAGAGAGAGAGAGAGAGAGAGAGAGAGAGAGAGAGAGAGAGAGAGUUUUGCUAGAAUNACAUCAUUUGCCUAAUGAUCAAAGGGUUUCAAAAUUUGUAAUUUUAAUGAUCGAUAAGAGACGUUUUCUCGUUUAACGGCGUAAAGAUAUCCAAAUCAAUUGAAUUUUUGUUAGAAAAUUCUUUAAACUAUUUAAAACAAGAUCUAUACUCUUGAUCUUGAUUACAAGACUCCUAUCAUUAUUUUUUAAAGAGUAUUCAUUUUCAGCCAUUCAUUUUUCUGUUCACUUGAUGGAUAAAAGAAUAAUAUCGAAAGUGCGUGAAAUUUGAUUUCUAGGUAGUUUAAAUGGUUUAGAUCAUAUUUAACGGAGCCGAUCGUCAAUUUGGAAGCUCUAUCAUUUAAAACAAAUCGGUAGUAAAACGGCUUAUUUACUACUGAUAGUAUUCUAGCUCAACCCUAUAUAUAUAUAUAGUGUAGGAUUACUAUACUAUUGGAAGUACGUAUAGAAGAUUUAAUACUUCCGAUUUUUUAACCCUUGGAUUAACAAUUGUACGUUUGGGAUGAUUACAGUCCCUUCUAGGGUUGAAUCUAGUGGUCCCUACAGGAUAAUAAUAUUAAUCCAAAAAUUAAAAAUAAUUAAAGGAACUGAUCUAAGGGUCAAAAAGUCGAAAAUACCAAAUCCUCUAUAUUUUCGAUAGCAUAGUAACUCUACUCUAUACUGUACAAUUCUUGAUCUAAGGGUCAAAAAAUCGAAAGUAUCAAAUCUUCUAUAUUUCCGGUGGCAUAGUAGCUCUACACACUAUAUAUAUAUAUAUAUAUAUAUAUAUAUAUANUAUAUAGUUUAUUAUUAAUGGCUAUUUACUAACCAAACAUCUUUUUUUUUUAUGCACAUCAAUGCCGGAAAUGAACGUGUGGUAUAUCAAGUAGUACAAAUGUUUAUUUCCUGUUGAAUAUAUUGAAAUUACUAUUUUUUAACAUAAUAUCGGAGUAGAAAAUUUCUGAGUUCGAGUUCCGUCAGACUCUAAAUUUUAUUUAAUUUUCUCUCGAUAAUUAGGUUUAUGUUUUGAAUCUAUCAAAAAAAUCUCAAUCUCCGAUACCAGGAAUAACAAUUAUUUCACAUAAUUACACAUUUCCAAAUACUUGCCAUGCUAGUUUUAUAAACAAUAACAAUAUGUCUUGCCUGUAAGUAUAUAUAUCUCACUCACACUCGCGUGCGCGCACACACACACUACAUCUCCAUCUAAAUCAAGCCAAAUAAUGAGACUCUUCGCAUGAAUUAUAACAAAAAAGAAAAUUUAAUUUUGUACACUUCGCAUUGUUUCUAAGCUUUUCUCUCCCGCUAUCUCAUUACUCACAACAAGGACGUACACAAUUUAAAAUACUGAAUAUUCUGUAGGGGGAAUAUUGCGCUACAAUAAAAUAUAUUUUAAACGAUGCUUUUUAAACGACGUUUUAUUUUAGCGUCUUUAAUAUUUGGCAUUUAGUGACACUAUGAUUAAGCGUCGCCAAUAAAUAUAUUUUUAUCAAAUAUUUACAAAUUUUUUCCGACGCUAUAUUAAAACGUCGGUAUAUUUAUCCCGACAUAUUUAUUUAACGACUCUUUACUCGACGCUUUUACAAGCAUCGAAAUUUUUUUUGCCGACGUUUUAAAGCGUCGCUAAUUAUUGUUUAAAGUGUUGUGCAAGAUUUUUUGUAGUUGCCAACUUAUGUCACACUCCCAUGCAUGCCCAAAUACCGUACAGAUGAAAACUAGUGAUUGAUUUAAAUUUCAAAUUUAAGACGUGACAACUAACUAGAACAUCAUCCUAACAAAAUUGAAUUACUCAAAUAGCUGCUGCACUUUGCGCGCAAUAUCAAAAGUGUCAAAGGCGAAAUAACUACACCGUUCUAGCCAUUUGGCUCGCUUAUUUAAGACAUGACAACCAACGAGAACAUCAUCGAUCCUUACAAAAUUGAAUUACUCAAUCAAUAGCUGCUGCACUUUGCGGGCAUUAUCAGAAGUGUCGAAGAAGACGAAAUAACUACACUAUUCAAGCACCUUCGAUCCGCAAUAACAAUAUUUAAAAUCUAAGUACAGGAAAUCACUUAAUAAUAAUAUAAUUUGAUUUAGAAGGACCGGUCCAUGGUGGAUUAAGUCUACGCAGUAAUUGAUUCUUUCGCGAGGGCCCACCUCAGAGCGACCGCACAGUGGAACUGCGCCACGUGUCCAAGCGAUCAACGAGAUCUGAGAUGGACACGUGUAUUGAUACCAGAUACUGUAUUACGUACGUUGCAGUGGGUUUUGGAUUUAGUUCGAAUAAAAUAUUAAAAAAUUAUUAUACGAGGUUCCAAAUUUAAAUUUCGACCAAACUUUGGGUUUCAUUUAAUAUCACUUCUUUUUAAAUUGGAGCUAGUUAAAUGCAGCAAAUAUAAACAAUACAUGAGAAAAAUAUCCCAAUAUGGUAGUAAACAAUGGACAACUUUAUUUUGCAAUUGAUCUACAAGUUAAUAACAGUGAUUAUAUAUAGCUUUUGUGAAAGUUACAAUUAAAAAUGUGAAUUUAUCACACCUUCCUGCUGAUCAACAAAUAUUAUUAUAUUAACCAAACUUAUCAAAUCUCACUUGGAUACAUACACCUUUACAAACCAAUAGGAAAAGAACAGUUCUACUGCAUAACACAAACACUACAAGUUCCUUUUACACAAUCACUUUGGUGGUUCAGGAAUUACACAAGCUAGCAUAUAGUUCUGAUAUAGGACAUAAAUCGCCGUAUAUUUAUCCUUUAUUCUAUGUUACUUUGCCCUGUAGUUCAGAAGGAUUUACAAAAAUUAAGCGUCGCGUUGUUUCUUGAUAAUUCGCUUACAGCGGAAUCCAUGCCUGCAUUAUAGAUUAAAACAAGGCUGGUAGUUUAUCAAACAAUGAGGAAAAACUGAGUUGAAUAAAAUGUUACGAUUAUCUAAUCUUUUGCCUUUUAUGCCCGAAAUGUCGAGUGAUUCUAGGAUGAGGGGUUGAUUUUAUGAUUCUUCUAAAGUUCGGUGACUACCUGUUCAUUCUAAGUUAUGUUAAUGCUACAGAAGGUAAGUUUAUGCACCUUAAUUGACCCAGUUUCAGUACCGCAGAAAAUAGUGUCAUUUGCUGCAAGAAGGCAUGUAAUCUUGCUCCCUGCUGAUAAUCUGCCUACCUUCUGCUGCUUCUCUCUCAACCAAAUCUACAGAAAGUUACUGUGUUUUACAAUCAAAAUAAUCGAAAGAUAAAAAAUAAAAAGAAUAGCAAAUUAAAUUGAACUUUACUUUAUUUCUCGACCAGUUAAAUCCCCCAUUUACCUGAAGUGUCAUCGGAGUUCUACUCGAGUUCAAGUAAAUGAAGUCCUCCACUAUUGCCAUUGCCUGCACAUCCACUCCCCUCGACAUUGCAAUCGAGACUUGAGGUUGGCGGCGUCUUCUCCAAUCCUGGUUUUUUUUCUUCCGUGUCAAAUUGAAUAAAAAUGGUGAAAGCAAAACUUUCGGUUGGAUGCAGAACAGGUACCUUUAUGCUAGAUCCUUCAACAGUAGCACCAGCCAAGUACAUCCAGUCUUUAUAAAUUUGGAUUGAAUUUAUGAGCUGUUUUCUGAUCCUCCAGAUUUUUGUUGGCGCCCUUAUCUCGAUCUUAUUGUCCUCCAUUAUAUCUAUCUCCUGAAAAACCAGAUUUGUGGAUUGAAGAAAACUAAUUCUAGAGUGAUUACAUUAAGACCCCUUCCUGCUAGCAGCUUAUGCAGAAAUACUGUUUGAGUAAAGGUGUUCUAAGAAGUAUAACAGGUUUGUUAUUAAAAUCUCCUCAUUUGCUUCUUGCUGCAGCUGAAGUAGAAACAUCAAUAGGAGCCUCUGCUAACCCAAAAGCUAAUUUUAGCUUCUCUCACAGCUAAAAAUUCAUAUAUUUGUUAAACACAUGCCUGAUUUAUGUAAGCAUCUACAUUGUGUAGUAGACAAGUUGUUCAAAACAAAUAGGCACUAGUAACCAUAAAUGCAAGCUUAACAUUGUUGAAUGUUGCUGGAAAUAUAUUGAACAAACCUGUAUGCUGGAGUCAGCGCAUCCAAGGUAAGCUCUCCCCUGGGCUAUAGCUACGCAUUUAACAUGUUUAUUCUUGCAGAUAGUUUGCGCACUUCUUGAUGCAUGGGAAACCUGAAUAAUUUCCGCUCAAACAUGAAGACAAGAUAAUAUGCUUCCAUAAUUUAAGUAUUUCAAAUCGAAUAAUUUGAACUUCAUAUUUUAAAUUGCAUAAAAAAAAUAAAGAAAUAAUUUCUUACUUUGAUACUGCGGUUCUGCAUUAUUACAAUAAUUUUGUCACCAUAACUGUCCAACUUUUGAACUGGUUCUUUCAUCUGUAUCACUUCAACACAUUCAAGCUUACCUUGUACCGUUUUCCAAACCUAUAGAGAAAAAAUAUUGUAUAUGAGUUUUUAUUCUCAUGCACUUUUCCAAUUUUCAGGCUAAAAGAUACAAUAAUAGUAUUUACCCGAAUAGAUUUAUCGCAAGAUCCACUUAAGAGAUUGUCCCCAGGUUCAAAAAGAGCAAAGCAAGUCACAGCUUUCUUGUGUUCUUUAACCUCUGUUGCGAGCACCGCUCUUUGUCGUUUGAUGUCCCAGGCCUAAAUUUCAACAUCUACUUAUUAGACCUUGAACCCACACCCCCCAAACCAACCACACACACACAAAAAAAAGAAUGUGCAUUUGCUAUUUGAUAUGCUACAUGAUUUCCAUUUUAUGCUCAGAGAAAGAAGACAUGUUAUGUGGCAUAUAUCAUCAAUCUCGUGCUGGUACUCUGAAUAUGCUACUGCUGUGAGACUUGCAGAUAUUUACAUAUAUUCCCCUGUAAUUAUCAGUUUACAUACAAAUCCCUGCACAAUCUAAGUUUUGUUAUUUUCCUUCAAAAACUGGAAUUUUCUUGUAGUUGUAAGGUAGGCCCCCACUAAAAAAAAAAUAAAAAAAAUCUUAUCUCAGACAACUGCUUACCUUAAUGGUACCAUCAGAAUAACCAGCAUAGAGUUGCCCUUUGAAAAAGGUAAUAGCAGUUGCAGCACCAUUACCAGCUUGGCCUACUUCUAAAAUUUGUGUAUGUACACAAGAGACGCGCUGCAAAUUGCCAUUAGGUUCAAUUAGAUCUCAUGCAGUUACAGGUCCCAAACAAUAAAAUAUUUGUGUAGAGUACGUAAAAAUGUACAGACCUUACGACAGCUCUAGGGCAUUUCAAAAGGACUACCAAAACUCGAAAUUCAGAUUUUAAUACCUAUCAAUUUUGAUUUCAGAAAAGUCUGUCAAAUUCUGUCAAACCUCAAACUUCAUUCUUAAUCCGGGAGAAUUGAGGACAAAAGGACAAGCAUCUUAUAUGUAUAACAUAUAUCUUUCAUUGUCAAAAAUCUGGGUACUCUUGAAAUUGAGAACUCUUUAGCUGAACUAACCGGCUUGGUUGGAAUGAAGUAAUCCGUCACUUUUAGUAACUCUUCAGCCAUCCAUGUAACAGGAGAGAGGCGUCUAAGAGAUUCCCGUAAACCCUCUGAAAAAUUCAUCAAUUUCUGCUUCCCUGCAUUUAAAAAGAAAGGAAAAAAAAAAAAGAAAAAAAGGAGAUCCUUGAAUGGCAGCAUGAACGAACAAAAACUGAAUUGAAACUCCCGAAAAGGUUGCCGCAAUUUGCCCUAUAUAAUUUCCUUCAAACAUAUUUACUACCUUCAAACAUAUUUACUAAUCUAUGAAUUCAACAGCAUCCUUUAGAAUUACCUUUACCAGAAGUGUAAUUAUACACAGAGAGGCAAGCCAGAAUCCUUUCAUCGAGAUCUGAACCAGGAUGGAGAAAGCGGGAUACAUCACCUAGCAGGAUCUCACAAGCAGAAUAUCUAAGGUCGUUGGGACCCGCAGUAGCCAUUUCAUUUCCUAGCCAUGAGGCACAUACAAGACAGUCAUGGGAAACAUUCUUUAUUUUGCUUUGCAUUCCUUUAGCUAAAGCAGUAAAGACAGAAGUCCCGAUUUUGAUAAUACCCCGCGCAGCUCUCGCACUCCAUGUACUUGUUUCAGAAUCCUGCAUGAUUUGUGGAUUUUAUUUUUUUGCAUAAUUAUAUAAUUUUGAAACCGAGAAGUUUCAAUUUGGUAAGAAAAUACAGAUAUCUAAUUUAGUUUGGUUUGACUUCUUUUGGUGCAUGGGGACUUUUAUAUGAAUAGCCUGCAAAUUCAUUUAUUCGAAUCUAUACAUGGCAAAAAGUGCAGCUUAUUACAAAAAUUUCCUUAUCUUAAGUUGGUGCGUGAAUUCAUGAGAAAGAAGUAUCUUAAAAUUGGGUGAUAGUGAAAUACAAGGGUACAUAUCUGAGAAAGGACAUUUUUAAAGGGCAUAUGCAGUAAUGUAACAUAAGUAAUUUUGCAGGGGAACACAGAUGAAUAUAUUCAGUGUGAAUAAUGUGAAUAGGAAUAGGAAUUUCGCUUGAAAUACUCACCUGCAGGCAAGGGUCAAUCCAGUCAAUGUUUCUGAUCAUGUUCCGAUGACAAAUUGAUGUUAAGCCGGCCUUUCUUACUAACCAAGCAGCUGUAUAUGUUUCUCCUGUCCACGAAUAAGUUCCUCCAAGAUUUGAAAGAAUAAAUGCAGCUAGUGCCCGCGUACUGCUAUUCUCACCAGAGGCUAAUGAUUCUAAUAGGGCUUCCACUGCCUCCUCUUUAAAUACACUCUUACCAGUAGAUUUCCCCUGUUACAUAUUGAAUAUGAAUAAUUUUUUAUCCUCUUUGUAGCUAUAUUUUCUAUUUAAAAUAAAUUUAGACAAGCAUAAAUUCCUUUCUGAAAUGAGAACAUUAACAAUGAACUCAUAGUUUCAGUAUGGUCGAGUUGCAGAAAUGGUAGUUUUUUGAUGUUUUGUUUGUAAUGAUGAUGUGGACAUGGCUUUUCUUUAGGUGAUUGACUAACUAAAGGAAUUGUUCUGCAGAACACUUCGAGGACUGGAAUGUCAAUUGAAACUCUGAGGUUGUAAUGGAAAUCUUGAUCAAACUUCAGGGGCCUAAAUUUGUGAUUAAAUCCUCUGAAUAUGAUAUAAAACUUAUUUUGACAAGGGCAGUGUAAUUUCACAUUUCUAAACCGAAGAGGAAAAUGGAUGAUCAUCCUUAUUAUAUCUCCUACAUUUCUCUUUUAUAGUAUACAAUUUUCUUGCCCCUGGUAACUCCAAAAGGCAAUCCAUUGCUCUGAACAAGGAAAAUAAAUGCACUAUACUUUAGGAAAUUAUACCAGAAUAUCUAAUUGGAUCAAAAGAUUUGCUGCCAAAAGUCGGUGCUCGAGAUCAGAUUGACGAAUACAGGCCAUUAAUGUAUGCAUAAUGCUAAUACCUCCUUGUUGCCGUAUCUGUUGAAGAAGAUUAAUAGCUGAGGACCUGAAGAAUAUUAGUGCUAGAACUCAGAAAGGUUAGUUUAUUGGAUCAGUAUAUCACCGAAUAUAAAUACAUGCAAAAAGUUCUCAGCUUUUCACAUCAAGUGCAUGUUUGGCCUGGCUGAAGCUUAACAUAAAAAAGUGCAGUUUGUAGAGCUGUUCAAGGACUAACUCUUUUUUUUUUUCUGUGUAAAUUAUCCUUUACAGCUUCUCACUGCAAUAGAAGCAGAACCACCGAAUUGGAUCUGCUUCUGGAACCCAAAAGUUCAUUUUAGCUUUCUAUCACAGCAAAAGCUCCAAAUUGUUGGUAAGUCAAAUACCUCAAUCCUCGAAGCUUUUGCUUUCUGAAUAAUGAAAGCAGUUCUGGAAGCCUAACAAACAGGUAAUAAAGGCAGUUUGAGGUUUUAAGUGGUUUUAUGAAGCAGUAAUACAGUUUUAGUAACAUCCUUACCAGUAGCUUUUCUUCACAACAGAAGUAAAACUCCUAGAGUAGAGAAGCUCUAGACAAUUUUUAGUAAAAUGCCGAGUUUCCAGAAGCUUAUGCUUGGGCGAUCAUUGCAGAAGCUAGGCCAAACAAGACAAAAUGUUGCAAAGAGACUAGUAUACUAGAUAUGAAAAAUGCUACAAGCUAAUUCAUCAGUUAGAAAUAGAUUUGAGUAUAAAAUAUACCGAGGCAUUUGAAGAAUCUCGUAGAAGUAUUCAAGUGCGGUGAAUUUCGCACGCCUCUCCUUUCUUUUGAGGAGAUGAAGGAAUGGGUCAACAGGAGUGACUUGUGAUAAAAAAUUUUUGCAGUUUCCAUUUAAUCGCAUACACCUAACAAGAAUAGCUGCCAAGGCCACACCUUCUUCCAAGUUGUUAUUCAUUGCCACAUUUACUAGCUUAGAGAGGAUUGGCAGAGAACUAAUUGCUGCCAAGUGAAUAUUGUUCGUUACAUAAUCAAACGAAGUAACUAAAACUUCGAUCAUGGAGAUUGAAGCCGCUGUCGGUGUUAUUGGUAAUAACGAAAGCCCCUUUAGGCCUUUUGAAUUGCAAGCAACCUCCACGAGAGCUGGUAAGAUUUCUAAGGUUUUCAUCUCCAGAGGUGAAGGGUUUAACAAAUAAAUAAGAAGAGCGACUUCAUGAACAUUUCUCUUUAAGGCAUUACCCAAAUCAUAUAGAAAUGAUUCCUUUCUCUUAAUGUCUUCUAAAAUACUUCUGUCUUCUGAUAUUAGUAGAAGAAGUAUGUACACGGAUGCCCUGAUCACCUUCUCCUUCUUGGAGGUUGAAAUGCUAUCCAUUAACUGCUCGAGGAUAUCUCGUUUUAUUGUACCGUACAUAAACUCUGAUUUACCUUCUAGCAAAUCCAAUAUAUUUGUAAAUUCAAAUUCAGAAUCUGCAAAUUUUAAUGCUUUCUCAAACCUUUCCGAAAUUUCUAUUUGAGUAUCUUUCCCACAAGUCGAACUUCCGUCACUCCAAUCCUUCUCGCUGCUUGAAAAGCUUAUAAUUUUUCUUGCGAAGCUUCCACGAGAAACUAGUUCAGAUAAGCUAUACUUCUUCAGAAACAUUUUGCUAAAGCAUCUGAGAUUAUGCCUUAGUGGACUUUCUCGAUUAGUCUCUUCUUUCACACCAUAUUUGAAGGAAUAUGGCUCUACCUCUCUAAAAUCUAAGAUUGAAUUUUGUAAAUUGCUGAGUGAACCUUGUGAUCUACUAGACAGUAGGUAGCUUGUAUUUGGUUCGAAAGAUUCCUCAUGAACUGGGUAUUUUGGAGAUUCAUGAUAGAAUUUUGUACACUCAGGAGAUGUGCACCAGGAUGCACGGACUCUGUUAAUAUUUGCACAGUUAUAAAGUUGGUUAGAGCAAUAAAACAUAAAAUAUUUCAGUACAAGCCAAUAAAGUACCUUUCACCAAGCUUCGAUGCUAAAAGAUCUGCAUCUAUUGGCAUAAUCUUUGCUGAACUUUCUUUAUGACUCAAAUGUACCUGUCCAAACGAAAUAAAAAUAGUUCAGGUCAAAUAAAUCUAGCAAAUAAUCUUUUCUCAUGAUGAUCUGGUUGUGAACAUAUUAUUACCCUCAUUAGCUAGAAAAGUUAGAUUUCUUUUAAGUAUUUAAAUGCAUAAUGCGACAUUUAACUUUUUUUAUUACAAAACUGGCUUCUUCCCAUGAAUUAGAUGACUUCCCAACUUAAACAUAAGGGUUCCUUUAUACGCUUCAAGGUAUAUUUUUACAUAUAAAUUUAGAUUCUGAAGGGGUAAAUAUAUGUAAAUAGAUGAUUUUGCAGGGAUGCACACACAUAUAUAUAUAUAUUGAAUAUCCCCACAAAGAAUACAUGCAAGUGACAAUGUUACCUCUGAAUCACUUGCCUCUAUUGAAUCAACAUUUGAGUAGAAGGAAAUUGGUGAAUCUGAUUGGGAUUCUUCAAGCAUAUCUUGGAGACACCUCAUUUCGAAGUUUUCCUUCACCUCUUCUUGAAAUACUUUGUCGAAACUCUUAAGAAGAGAAUGACCAUCAUUUAGUUCAGCAAAACCACCACAUCUCUUGAAAUUGGAUGUAGAGGCCUUAUCGUUAUCUACUGUAAUUCCAUUACCCACUAAACAGGCUUGUGUAUCCUGCAGAAAUAAGAAAUAUACAGUAAAAUUCACAAGAUAUAUUGGUUUUUUAUGAGAAUAUUUUGCGAUAGUAUUUAUAGUAGAAUGCUAAAUAAAUUUAUUUAGUCAUUUAUAUCUUUUUGUUAUAGUAAGUAAUUAUGCACAGUUUAGGAUUUGUUAUCAUAGUGCGUGCAAUUUGAACAUGUCAGCAACAAUUCAAAAACAAGUUUGACUCAGCUUUCUAGAACAGCUUCUCCACGGGAGUACAAACUGGGAACUUUGUCCUUGUACAGGCCGGAUUUGUAAAGAAAACUCCUAGAGCUUUUGCUCAAGUGUUUUGCAGGGGUCACAAUUCAAUAUUAGUUGCAUGCAUGAAAAUCAUGACUGUGAAGGAUCCAUCACUUACAUGCUGAAGAUUCGGCCUGCUAAGUAUGAGAGAGCUCUCAAAUCUCGUCCCAGGAAUCUGUCUAUACCUGUUCAUUGACAAUGAUCGAAGAUGAGAUGCAGAGUACUGGAAUAGUAUUAUACUUGAAAUUUGCAGAAGUUUAAACAGCUGAGUACUAGAAUAAAACAUAAUAAUUAGCGAUAGAUUUCCAAAAACUCAAUUUUCACAUCAAUGCAAACGUUUGCGUGUUCUAAUUCUAUCUUAUGCCCUACAAAUCAACCUCAUAUAUUCAUUCUUGUUCAUCCAUGAGUUGCAAGCAGCAGCAUCGUUACUUUGUUUUUAUUGCUGUCACUAAUGCAUGCAAAUGAGGCAUACCACAAUAGGCGGCGGCAGCUUCUGAAGCAUUUCGUUGCAAAUUAUGCAUGCAUAUCAAGAAAACGAACCAAUUACUCACCGAUGAGCGCACGGCUCAAUCUCACGAUCCUCACAAGCCGAGAAUUUCUUAUUCCACGGCGGAAUCUCGCCGUAGGAAACCACCUGGUAGUACAUCAACCAGUACUUGUACCUCCUCCCCUGCUUCCUCGCUGCCUCGUCCGCUUCCUCCUCAGUCCCCCCCGCACUCGUAGUUUUAUCCUCAAAGAGGCUUUUCCACAAGCACGUCGCGAGCACCGUUCUAACCAACUUGGGGAACACUAUCACCGACUGCAAGAAAUUCAUGGUCAUCUGCCACUGAUCCCCCCGAAGCUUCCGAACCAGGGCGAGGUAGAAAUAGGAGUAGCAAACAAUGUAUCUGUUCUCAAUUCCCCCGAUUCUCCCCUCUUCAUCCAACAAGGCGGGAACUUGCAGCAUCUUCUCGGAGCCGGCGAGCCGAGAGGCCCUCUCCUCGGGCGAACCGGAGGUGAUCGCGAGCUCGAGGGAUUCGACCCCCCAGUAGAGGUUGGAGAGCACGGACUGGUCGGAGAACUCGAAGAAGCCGCGGGUGGGGCCGGAGAGGCUGGCGCGGCAGGCGAGGUGGAGGGCGGCGCGGGCUGCGGGGUCGGAGAGGAGGCGGCGGAUGUGGCGGUCGACGAAGGCGACGAGUGAGUGGGUGGAGUGAAGGUCGAGUCUUUGGGGGAGGUGGGUGGUGGUUGGGGAGGAGGAGGAGGAGGAGGGGGAGGUGGAGAGCGCCAUGGGAGGAGGAGGAGGUGGGAGUGGAGAAUUGGGGGAUCGGGGAGGAGGAGAUAAGGGAGAGGGAGGAGAGAGGGAGAGAGAUGGGGAGCAUGGAAUGGAACGUUCGCUCGUGAGUGGAAUGGACAAGAUACAAGGAGGGUGAGCCCCGCGCUACGGAGAAGACGACGUGCUCUGUGACCGAAGACGACGUGCUCCGUGACCGUUGCGACCAAGUGCUUUUUCGCGCCACGGGACAAGUUUCAGAGUCUCUCUCUCUCUCUCGAUCUUUCUUUCGCGCCACAUGAGAGCCAUGUACUCGGGCUUUUUUUGCAAAUAGCCCCCUUACAAAANAACUUUCUUUCGCGCCACAUGAGAGCCAUGUACUCUCUCUCUCUCUCUCUCUCUCUCUCUCUCUCCCCCCUUUUUUUUAAUCAUCUUUUUCAGGUCCAGAUGAAAGUAAAAAAGACCGAUUCACUCUUUUACGUACCUCAUUAUUUCUUACGUUAUGGAAAUGUUUGAUUCAUCUAGACUUUAAAAUUAAUAAAUUUAUUUAUUUUCAAUUAUAAAAUUAAAAUAAAAUUUAUUAAUUUUGAUUGUUGCUAUUUAUUUUAUGUAAAUAGGAUUUUAAUUUCUAUUCCAUUCUGGAAUGAGAAUGGCCAGAUUUAUUAAUGAUCCAAUCGGAUUUUAAUCAUUACAAAGUAAAAUACUUAAAAUUCUCUCUUUCAGCAACAACUCCUUUCCUCUUCUUUUAUCACUUUUCUCUCUCUUAAUCAAAACUCUCAUUAAAAAAAUUUUAGAUUUUUAUUUCGAUUUCUAUUCUAAUUAAUGAUUCAAAUAUUUUUGGAUGAUUCGUCAUUCCAUUUUUCAUUUCAAAACAAUCUAAUUCUAUUUCUCAUUCCUAUUUUAAUUAUAAACCAAACAUGCCUUAAAAUGAGAUGUCAAAUAUAUUAAAUAUGAAAAACAUUCAAACAUUAUUUUUUACUAAUUUAAAUUUUCAGAGAAUAAUGGUAGAUUCAUAUUAUUUAACAUAGUAUCACAGUAUAAAGUUCUGAAUUCAAAUCACUUGUCAUGAAUUUAAAAAAAUAAUCUCGAACUUGGAACCUCGGAUACCAAACACCAAGCCCUUUGCCACUUGCAUUAGAGACGAUCGGUAAUUUAUCAAAUAUUCAUUUUAGUGUCCUGUGGUUUACCGAAUUUUUACUUCAGUACUCUCUGAUUUUAACUUUGUCAUUAAUUUAACAAAAAAAUUAACAAAGAAAAUAACGAAAAAAAAAAUCAUAAUAUACAAAAGUGAUAUAUUUUAAAGUAUAGGAUACUAAAAUGAAAAAGUACGAAACCACGGAUGUGGUAUUUAAAUUUUUCCCUUAUUAUGAUGCUUCAUCGUACAGUGUCGGUCGCAAUGUGGCCAGCUAUAUAAUUUCCACGGCAUUAUGAAAGGACACAACUCCAUGCAACAUCGUCCUCUGAACUAUUUAUUUAUUUAUUAUUUUAUUAUUUUUUAAUCACCAAGAAUCUUAAUACACAAUUAAGAAUCACUAAACCCAUAAUCUAAGACUCCAAUAAUUAUUCCUCACCAUUAAUUUAUAGCCCUAGAAUGCUUUGCUGAAUGUUUCCUUCCAUUCUCUGAAACAAGAAGAAAAGAAAAAAAGAAAAAGAAAAGGUGUGAUGCACACCCUGUCCUUAUGGUCCCAAUCUUAGAAUUAUUCAAUAGGAUGGGGUUAAAAUGCCCAAAAUAAUGUAUUGUUGUGCGUCUCUUGUGUACAAAAGAGUUGCUGACACCAACCUGGACAUGGAGUGCAAUGAAAGGAACUGUGCCCCAUCCUUACUGUCCUAGCUCACGGCCACAAUCUGCACCAACAACAUUCCAACACAUAGAAGAAUCCUAUCAUGCAUUAGCCAAAGGUAAAAUAAUUUUGCUUUUUGAUUAUAAAAGCGCUUUGUACAAAAGCGCUUUUCGACGAUGAGCACAAGAAGUUAGGCCUAGAGUUAAGAGCAGAAACUAGGCUGCAUCUUCUUCAAGUAGGAGUUUGAUUAGAUGUCCCAACUCCCCACUGCGAACACUACAAUUUUGUAGUUGGAACGUCGCAUUUUUGUGACGUAAAUAAGAUCGGUUCGAAGAAGAUGACAUGAUGAUUGAAUUAGCUGUUACAUCAUAUAUCCAUUACCAAGGUGUAAAAGGCAUUCAACAUUUGGACAUAGUUGUGACAGAAAUUAAAAUUUUUUUUUUGUAUCAAGUCACAAAGAUUAGAAGUUGGUCAUCUAAGUGAAAUGUGCACCACCAAAAGAGCAAUUGAUAAAGCUAUGGAAUAUUCAAGCUCCUUAAGCUAGAAAUGAAGAGAAGCUGAUAUCAUAAGGACACUCUCGACGCAAGAGAAGCAAAAGUUUGGCAUUAGAGUUUCUACUUUUGGGCUCAAAACCAACAAAAUUCAACAAAUUUUCACUUUCGGACACAACAAAGCUGUUCUAAAAGUCAAGCUAAAUGGAUACUUGAAUAUACUCGUAGAAAAUAUAUUGAAUAGAAUUUGUUACAAAUUAAACAUAUAUAAGGGAAUGGGAGGAAACUAUCAAAGCAUAGAAAAAGUGAUAACAUACUGUUGUUGAGUUAAAAUUAGUUAAGAAGAAUAUUCAGGAGACAGUAUGACAAAUACAAGUUCCCCAAAAAAAAGGCCACCUUUUGAAGCUUUUCGAGUUGGGGCCACAUAAAAGGAAAAACGACAACAGUGAACUUCUAAAAAUGUCCAAGCCACUUCCUAUUGCCUAAGAAAGUGACAAAACCUUUUCCAGCAAAAAGGAAAAUAAAAAGAAAAACACAGCCUACCAUGAAGAACUAUGAUUUACAUAGUUUUUCUUUUUCCUCUAAAAUAUUUGAGAAUUUUGCAAAAUCAAGCCUUCCUCAGUAUAUUUCAAUUUUAAUAAACUACUGUUUUUACCACUUUGGGCCAAAAAUGUGCUCUUCAUGGAAUUGUCCCUAGCCAACAUGAUGAUGAUAGAUAAACUUGUGACAAGAUUACAGCUAGAUUUUCGAGUAAAAAGAUAACUCCGCUCAAAGUUGGAAAUAAUGAGCUAAGGAGACCGAUCAUAAAAUCCAAAAAAAAAAAAAGGUGAAUUGUUUUUACAAAAUGGCCAUCCGUGUGUGCUUAACAUAAGAUACUCCGUAAAUUUACAGGCUAACCAUCUCUCUGUACAGGGUCACUUUUGUACUAUAUGAGGAUGAAUGACUAAAACAUAUUACAUGGACUUCAUAUGGCAUGUUCAAACAGUCCUAGACAAGUUUCUUGCAUCUUUCUAAUGUUCUCAAUAAAAAGCUACCCCUGACUUGUCGUUGAUAUAGUAACUCACAGUACAUUUCUGCAUCUUAUGUUCUCAAUAAAAAGCUGCCCCUAACUUGUCGUUGAUAUAGUAACUCAGAGUCCGUUUCAACAUCUCCACCUCCACACAGUUUUUACAAACUUGCAUUCAGAUUGGCAACAAUAAGACCCACAAAUAAUAGCUAACUACCGAUGCCUUACUGUAGCAAAUAAUGUGUGGAUUCGGAGAUUACAGGAUUCAAGAAAUAGCAAAUUAUAUGAUUGCCAAAUAUUAGCAAGAAAAUGGACUCAAUACAGUAAGAUUAGCUUAAUUAUAGAAACUGUGCAUCAUGGUUAGCUCUAAAGAAGCCCCUAUUUACAAUUGUUCAGGAAAAGACAUUUAACUCUUUAUUAUUUACCAUAGGCUAUUUACCUAAAAUGUGCUAAUGAUUAUUAUCUCAAAAGAGAGAAUUUGCACAUGUUACCUAGAAGAAACUAAAAAAGCUCGUCAAAAUGUCUUCUCCAGGAAGCUCUUAUUAUCCAAUCCUGCCUCUUACUCCAUCUGAUCUGUAUUUUGAACAUAUGAAGGCUCAAAUUAAUAUCAGAACAGUGAAUAAUUUCAGGCUUAAAGUGUAACAAAACCACAAUGCCAUUAAAAGGUACUACAAAGAGUUAAUCUAAUCCUGCACCUUCAAGGGCAUCAAACAACAUUUAAUGAAUGAGUUAAAUAUUUUAAAAUCUCUUGACACAGAUCUUCAAAAGUCAGAAACUUGCAAGUCCUGUUACAUACAUCUUUUCUCGUGUUCACUCACAAAAAGAAAAGUAAAAUUACAUGUUUUCACAGCAAGCAUCUGAAGGUUACAAUGCAUGAGCACAUGACUGAAUGAGAGAAUAUAAGCCUACUAUUCUAUAUUUCUAUGUAAACAAAUGACUUAUAUAUGAAGAAGAGUAGUUCAUUAUUCUAGAAAUGUCAAUUCUCACAUGAUAUCUAAUAGAUACUCCAACAAAAUUUGCCUCAAGCAUCUUACUAUUCAAAACAAAGGCAAAAUAUCAAUAAUGACUUGUAUACAUCAGGCUAAGCUCUUGAAAUGCUCUAAGCUCUCAAUCUUAAACUCCUGUCAACUAUCCGAAUCAAUUCAUUAUACAGUGUAUUAAACUUAUGUUUUGUGUAGUAGCAGGAAAGUGUUCUUUUUGCGUAUUUACCGAUAUAGAUAUACAAAAUUGUGCAAAAAACACUCCAACGCUGAUAUCUGCAUAUGUGUCCAUGGCAACUUACUUUUUAGUUUCUAGCUCUCAAAGAACUUAUUUCCGAGCACACCUAAAACUAAGAUAAGUAAAUAAGAUUUUGAAGGGGCAUACAUGCAAACAGUACAUCUCGAAUGGUAUUUAGUAUAUACAAACUCUCACAUAGUUGAAAGGGGUGGGGCGCUGUGUGUGUCUGUGUACAGAGAGAGAGAGAGAGUUUGGCUAGAAUACUAUUGGUAGUAAACAGGUUCCGCUACUACCCCGCGCGCGCGCAAGAGAGAGAGAGAGAGAGAGAGAGAGAGAGAGAGAGUUUAGCUAGAAUACUAUUGCUAGCAAACGGAUUCCGCUACUACUGAUUUAUUCUCGAUAAUAGGUCAUCCAAAUAGAUGGUCUGCACUGGUAAGCAUGAUAUUUUAUAAUUUGAGGUAUAUGCAAAUUGAAUUUCAUAAAUUUUCUGACAGUAACCUCUUACACAUCGAGCAGACACAACAAUCAACAGCCGAAAGUGAAUAUCCUUAAAAAGAUAAAGAUAUGAUUCUUGCGUUUUAAGAUAAAGGGUGCAAAUCUUAUUUUAAAUAAUUUCAAAAAAAAUCACCAACAAAAAAUCAACUUCUCUGUGUUCUUUACCACAGUUAAAGAAACAAAUGUCCCGCAUCGAUUAUAUUAAAAUUAAAAAAUUUGCAACUAUUUAGUCAUUAGGUAAGGUAAAUGAUGCCAAAAAAUUAAUUUCGAUUUGGAUGGCCUAUUAUUGGAAACAACUCGGUAGUAACUUUCUGAUCCAGCUAAUAAGAUUGUCACCACUUUGGUUGUUCGAUCUGAAAAUGUUCAUAGAAGAAAGUGUUGAUGAUGGUGGGACUAUAAUUAAUUUAAAAAAAAAAAAAAAAACAACCCAACAUGAAAUAAAGAAUAUUAGAGCAGGACAGUAAUAAAAGAGAAAAAGGAUUAAAAUUGCACACGACCUCCCAUCCGUUCCUCCCCGGAAAGCUGCGGCGGUGGCGCAUCGCAGCUCGGAAUGCAUCUCCCCGCUUCCUCGAGCGGGGGCAACCAGCUCUUUCUCCUGUCCUUGCGCCUCAGCACCGGGGCCUCGCCGAGGCCGGAUCCCGGGCUCUCGUCGACCACCUUACGCUCCGCCGCCGCCGCCGCCUUCGCGGCGCGCCCAGAUAAGCACAAGCAGAGGAUUAGCCGAAUUAGGUCGGGUUCGAUGUGCCAGGGGCGCCGCCGCCUCCGCUGCGGCGGAUGACGCACCUCGCCGGCGAGCGGCGGGAGGGAUUCACGGAGGCCGGAGAGAUCGAGCGCGCCGUCAUCGGCGGAGGCGGCGGCGGCGGCGGAGGAGGAGGUGGUGGAGGCGGCGCGAUCGGAUCGGUAGGGUUUGAAGGAGACGGGGGUUAGGGUUUGGGGUCGGAGGAAGCGCCCGCGUAGAGGCGAGGGCUUCGCCUUCUUUUGGGAUUCCUUCAUUUCUUCUUCUUCGUUGUCUUCUUCUCCUCCGUCGUCGCGCUGGAUUUCGAGGAUUUUAGGGUUUAGGGUUUUGUUCAUUAUUCUUAGUUACAACUCACAACUACAUCGGAUAAUAAUAUAAUAUAAUAUAAUAUAAUAUAAUGCGUUUCAACAUAGAUUUUUUUUUUUUUUUAAUUAUAAACACGCGUAGAACUGGAAGAAGAAAUAUUUUCAGAUAUAUAGAAGUUUAAAUAUUUAAUUAAUUACCUUCGAAUCUCUGAAGAAUAAAUAAUGAGGAUCCAGGAUUCGAACGCACGAACAAUAAAUAAAUAAUAAAAAAAUAGGAAAAGGGUUGGGUCGCAACUAGGCCAGUUUCUAAUGGGCCUCCAUUUUUAGGCCCAAUUUUGGUCCAAAUUGAGUGGGCCGCAUCCACUAAUGGAAAUGUUAGGGCUAGCCAAGUUUACGAUCGGGUCCAAUCUAAUUUACCAGACCGGACCGGACGGGCCGGUCCGGUUUGAUUAGGCUUAACCAAAGGUAAACACAUUGCUAAUCCCCAUUAAUCAUCUGUACUGUUCCUCCUUAAUGGAGAUUAUAAUUAUAUUAUCUCCAUUGUGAGAUAGUCAAAUCCAUCCUAUAUCACAUGCACGGCUCGAAUUUCAAAAUAAUUAUGAAUGGCGAAUUCAAUGAUCUCAACAUGUGGAUGACCUGUAUAAAAUUUUUAUUUUUGUGAUGGAAAAUAUGUUGUUUUACAAACCAUCCUUAUCGCCCAAUUUUAGGAUCCUUUGCCGUAGUCGGCUUAUUUUAUAGCACUUUUUUUUUUUUUUUUAAGAGAUAGGUAACAUGUUAUUCGUUUCGUUUAUUUCAUUUAAAAAUAAAUUUAGCUAGAAAUGUAAAUUAACUAGAAUUCGAAUUUAGAUCUAGGAUACCAACCAUCAAGUCUUUUGCCACUUGCUCUAGAGACUGUCGGUUUUAUAGCACAAUUGUUCAUCUCUUUUCUCCCUUUCUCUUCACAGCUAGUUAUACCUUUAUCAUCUUGAUUCAAGGAUUUUCGACUUUGCCGCGGGGGUAAUAUUUUUCUCUAGUUGUGGCUAGAAUUGGAUUGGAAUGCAAAAUUUUGUGUAUCAGUAGAUAUCAUUUAUCAAUGUAAUAGUAUUUUUUCACAAAAUUUUGCAGCGAUCUAUAAUUCUUGGAUUUAUUUACUUGACAUGAAAAUAAACUCCGAGUUGAAAAAAAAAAAAAAGCAAAAAAAUUAGUAAUUCAAUAUUUGGUUAUAAUAAGGAAUUAAUCAUGAUAUAAAAUAACCAAAAAUAUAACAAAUUAAGUUAACAAAUUUGAGCUUGUGUUGGAUUCAAAUUUCCAACAAAAUACGUUAUUCAAAAUAAUAAAUAAUCAUUCAAGCACUAUUGUAGAGAUUGUAUUUUCAUAUGCGAUCCCAAAAACCUUAUUUAUUUGCAUAUUUUAUAAUUUAAUAGCGCAGAUAUUCCCGUAGGAACUCGUGUGCAUGCAAAUUUCAACUCUGAUAUAGUUUCUAAAUUUUUGAAUUUAAAACAAUUCGUACUAACUACAUUGAGAAGUUCCAACAGGGUUAUUCAGGGUCUCUAAUUAAUAAUAAUCCACUUUAUAUAACAAUAUCUAUGUGCUUAAUAUACAUUUGUAUUUGACACAUUAUGUAACGUAUAAUAAAUUAUCAUCUGAGAGACUAUUUAUUGUCCUUAUAAUCUAUGAUUUGGCAAAGAUACCUAACUUGGUCAUAUUAAUCCACUUUAAUUUUCCCAAUCCAAUUAAAGUUGCUAUCCAUGAUCAAUGAAGCUUACUUGUUCCUCGCAGCAAAAAUAAUUAUUAUUUAGCUAACCAAAACAGCUCCUUCUAAAACCCCAUCCCCCACUACCAUUCACAGUGGUGGUCAAUUUCAUUGGUUCCUUGAUUAUAAGUAGAGCUUAUCCCUCUAAGAUAAUUGUAUUUAUAUGUAGUUGUUGUAUCUAAUGACAUUAAACAUAAUUAUCAACACAUUAAGUUUGAGUUCAAAAUUAGAUGUUUAUGGCAUUCGGUGACAUGUCUAAAUCACCAAUUAUUUUGUGUCAUUAGAGACCUCACUAAUCUUGUGAGUAUUCAUUUAGUCAACACAAAAUAUAAACCCAACCAAAUUAAUCAAUUUGAUCUGACGGUACUGAGCGCUGUGGGCCAACGACUUAAUAAUUGAUAUCUGAGAUUUCAAAUUCGAAAACGGGUGAUUUCACAUUUUUAAUAAAAUUUAUUUUAAAAAAUAAAAAUAAUUUAUAAAAAUAAAAUGCCUAUUUUUGUGAUCAAAUCCCUCUCUCUCUCUCUCUCUCAUGUGAUGUGUUAAAGCCCAUCACAUGCUUUACCCCCACCACAAGCCAUGUGGAAUUCAAAUCCCAACCUCACUCAUUAAUCAUUAUUCAAACCAACCCCUCACCUCACUUUAUCUUCUACCAAAGUCCCAACUCUUAUAACAAACAUCUUCUUUAUUGUACAUGUAUAAAUAUAAAUAGUAUUAGCACCCGUACUUAAAAUCUUAAAAAGCGAAAAAAAAAUCUCAAAAGUUAAACCCCAUGUAAUAAUUAGAUGAAAAGUAGAUGGAGACCCCUUAGCUUUAGACUGUUAAAUAUAAAAAUAUUUAAACAUUAUUUUUUAACAGCUUAAAUUUUUAAAGUACAACGAUUAUUUCACAUGAUAUCAGAACAGAAGAUUCUGAGUUCAAGUAAUGCCAGACUCCUAGCAUAUUAAUUUUCUCCCACUUAAUUCAAGCCUACGUCAUGGCCAGACUAGAAAGUUUCGUAACGCCAUUCUCUAACAGCUUAAGCUUUUAGAGUACAACAAUUGUUUCACAAUUUUGUAACAAAUUCCUUGACUACUUUUAUUUGUAAUUGAUAUAUUUUAAAAUUAAUUAUUUCAUAUGCUAUGAGUCGUUGAAAAUUAGCGAAUUUAGUAGCGUCGUCAAAUAUUAAAUAAGU